CCCUUAGAUGUCCGGGGCCGCACGCGCGCUACACUGAAGGAAUCAGCGUGGCUUUCUCCCUGACCCGAAAGGGUUGGGAAACCCGUUGAAUCUCCUUCGUGAUAGGGAUUGGGGCUUGAAAUUGUUCCCCAUGAACGAGGAAUUCCCAGUAAGCGCGAGUCAUAAGCUCGCGUUGAUUACGUCCCUGCCCUUUGUACACACCGCCCGUCGCUCCUACCGAUUGAAUGAUCCGAUGAAUAUCAUGGAUUGAGGAUGCAAGCAGGUUCGCCUGUCUUCAUCUUCGAGAAGUGAAGUAAAUCUUAUCAUUUAGAGGAAGGAGAAGUCGUAACA
rnacentral:rRNA from 1 species